GCAAGUCGAGCGCGCCCUUCGGGGUGAGCGGCGGACGGGUGAGUAACGCGUGGGAAUAUGCCCUUCUCUAAGGAAUAGCCACUGGAAACGGUGAGUAAUACCUUAUACGCCCUUCGGGGGAAAGAUUUAUCGGAGAUGGAUUGGCCCGCGUUAGAUUAGUUAGUUGGUGGGGUAACGGCCUACCAAGACGACGAUCUAUAGCUGGUUUGAGAGGAUGAUC
rnacentral:rRNA from 1 species